UGGGGAAUUUUGGACAAUGGGCGAAAGCCUGAUCCAGCAAUGCCGCGUGUGUGAAGAAGGCCUUCGGGUUGUAAAGCACUUUUGUCCGGAAAGAAAUCCUUGGCUCUAAUACAGUCGGGGGAUGACGGUACCGGAAGAAUAAGCACCGGCUAACUACGUGCCAGCAGCCGCGGUAAUACGUAGGGUGCAAGCGUUAAUCGGAAUUACUGGGCGUAAAGCGUGCGCAGGCGGUUUGCUAAGACCGAUGUGAAAUCCCCGGGCUCAACCUGGGAACUGCAUUGGUGACUGGCAGGCUAGAGUAUGGCAGAGGGGGGUAGAAUUCCACGUGUAGCAGUGAAAUGCGUAGAGAUGUGGAGGAAUACCGAUGGCGAAGGCAGCCCCCUGGGCCAAUACUGACGCUCAUGCACGAAAGCGUGGGGAGCAAAACAGGAUUAGAUACCCUGGUAGUCCACGCCCUAAACGAUGUCAACUAGUUGUUGGGGAUUCAUUUCCUUAGUAACGUAGCUAACGCGUGAAGUUGACCGCCUGGGGAGUACGGUCGCAAGAUUAAAACUCAAAGGAAUUGACGGGGUCAUAGCUG
rnacentral:rRNA from 1 species